rnacentral:siRNA from 1 species
CGUGGGCUUGUGACCCGUG